rnacentral:rRNA from 1 species
CAGUCGCCGCGGGAAUACGAAGGGUGCAAGCGUUACUCGGAAUUACUGGGCGUAAAGCGUGCGUAGGUGGUGGUUUAAGUCCGUUGUGAAAGCCCUGGGCUCAACCUGGGAAUUGCAGUGGAUACUGGGUCACUAGAGUGUGGUAGAGGAUAGUGGAAUUUCCGGUGUAGCAGUGAAAUGCGUAGAGAUCGGAAGGAACAUCUGUGGCGAAGGCGACUAUCUGGGCCAACACUGACACUGAGGCUCGAAAGCGUGGGGAGCAAACAGGAUUAGAUACCCCCGUAGUCCCUGUCUCUUAUAC